UAUGGCCAUGUCAUGUUGAAACACCAGUUCCUGUACGAUCACCAAAGGUAAGCAAUGUUGAACUUGGUCAGUACUAGACAGGUGACUGCUUGAGAAUACCAGGUUCUGUAAG